rnacentral:rRNA from 1 species
AUUGAACGCUGGCGGCAGGCCUAACACAUGCAAGUCGAGCGAGUGGCGGACGGGUGAGUAAUGCUUGGGAAUCUGCCCUAUAGAGGGGGAUAACUACUGGAAACUGUAGCUAAUACCGCGUACCAUCGGAUGAGCCCAAGUGGGAUUAGGUAGUUGGUGGGGUAAAGGCUCACCCAGGCGACGAUCUCUAGCUGGUCUGAGAGGAUGACCAGCCACACUGGGACUGAGACACGGUCCAGCCUCCUACGGGAGGCAGCAGUGGGGAAGAUUGCGCAAUGGGGGCAAGCUGAGGCAGCCAUGCCGCGUGAAUGAAGAAGGCCUUCGGGUUGUAAAGUGCUUUCGGCGGCGAAGCGUUGACCACAGAAGAAGCACCGGCUAACUCCGUGCCAGCAGCCGCGGUAAUAC